CUUGUUGGUGAGGUAAUGGCUCACCAAGGCUUACGGGUAGCUGGUCUGAUAGGAUGGUCAGCCACACUGGGACUGAGACACUGCCCAGACUCCUACGGGAGGCUGCAGUCGAGAAUCAUUGUCAAUGCACGAAAGUGUGAACAUGCGACGCCGCGUGGAGGAAGACGGCCUUCGGGUUGUAAACUCCUGUCAGCAGGGAGUAAGGGUAGCAUUGCUAAUAGUAAUGUUAUUUGAUAGUACCUGCAGAGGAAGUCACGGCUAACUCUGUGCCAGCAGCCGCGGUAAUACAGAGGUGGCGAACGUUGUUCGGAUUCACUGGGCGUAAAGGGUCCGCAGGCGGUCCGGUGUGUCAGAUGUGAAAGCCCACAGCCUAACUGUGGAAUUGCGUUUGAAACUGCCGGACUAGAGUACUGGAGGGGAGAAGGGAACACUUGGUGUAGCGGUGAAAUGCGUAGAUAUCAAGUGGAACACCGGCGGCGAAGGCGCUUCUCUGGACAGAUACUGACGCUCAUGGACGAAAGUUAGGGUAGCGAAAGGGAUUAGAUACCCCUGUAGUCCUAACCGUGAACGGUGUGCACUAGACGUGGGUGGAUUUACCCCCAUCCGUGUCUGAGCUAACGCAUUAAGUGCACCGCCUGGGGAGUACGGUCGCAAGAUUAAAACUCAAAGGAAUUGACGGGGACCCGCACAAGCGGUGGAGCAUGUGGCUUAAUUCGAUGCAACGCGAAGAACCUUACCUGGACUAGACAUAUAGCUGCAUACGACCUGAAAGGGACGUAGCCUUCGAGGGUGCUAUACAGGUGCUGCAUGGCUGUCGUCAGCUCGUGCCGUGAGGUGUUGGGUUAAGUCCCGCAACGAGCGCAACCCCUGUGUUUAGUUGCCAGCACGUAAUGGUGGGAACCCUAAACAGACUGCUUGUGAAAACAAGAGGAAGGUGGGGAUGACGUCAAGUCAGUAUGGUCCUUAUGUCCAGGGCUGCACACGUGCUACAAUGGGUGAUACAAUAGGAAGCCAAGCCGCGAGGUGGAGCAAAUCCUCAAAAUCACCCCCAGUUCGGAUUGGAGUCUGAAACUCGACUCCAUGAAGUUGGAAUCGCUAGUAAAGGCGUAUCAGCUACGACGCCUUGAAUACGUUCCCGGGUCUUGUACACACCGCCCGUCACAUCAUGGAAGUCAGUUGCACCCGAAGUCGCUGAUCCAACCUGUCAAAGGAGGAAGGCGCCGAAGGUGUGAUUGAUGACUGGGAUGAAGUCGUAACAAGGUA
rnacentral:rRNA from 1 species